AUGACAUCCUGGUCACCAAAUUGGAGAAAAAAUGGAUUUGAUGGAUGGACCACUCGCCGGGCAAGCAAUUGGCUGGAUGAUGGCACUCAGGGAGUUGCGGUCAACGGCUCAGCGUCCAAGUGGACAAGGGGCAUUCCUCAGGGAUCAGUACUGGGACUGGUGUUAUUUAACAUCUUUGCAGGUGAUGUGGACAGCGGGAUUGAGCGAGCCAUCACCAAGUAUGCAGACGACACCAAGCUGAGUGGUGCAGUUCACACGCUAGAGGGAAGGGAUGCUAUCCAGAGGGACCUGGGCAGGCUUGAGAGUUGGGCCCAUGCCAGCCUCAUGAAGUUCAGCAAGGCCAAGUGCAAGGCCCUGUGCCUGGGCUGGGGCAACCCCAAGCACAGAUGCAGGUUGGGCGGAGAAUGGCUUGAAAGCAGCUCUGAGGAGAAGGAUUUGGGGGUGUCGGUUGAUGAAAGACUCAACAUGAGCCGGCAGUGGGCACUUGCAGCCCAGAAGCACAACCGUACCCUGGGUUGCAACAAGAGAAACAUGACCAGCAGGUCGAGGGAGGUGGCUCUGCCCCUCUGCUCUGCUCUCGUGAGACCCCACCUGGAGUACUGUGUCCAGUUCUGGGGCCCCCAGCACAAGGAGGACAUUGAGUUGUUGGAGCGGGUCCAGAGGAGGGCCACAAAGACAAUCAGAGGGCUGAAGCACCUCCCCUGCAAGGAUAGGCUGAGAGAGUUGGGGCUGUUCAGCCUGGAGAAAAGAAGGCUCCGGGAAGACCUUGUAGUGGCCUUCCAGUACCUGGUAAGGGCCUACAGAAAAGCUGGGGAGGGACUUUUUAGAAAGGCAUGUAGCGACAGGACAAGGGGACAUGGUUUUAAAUUGGAAGAGGGUAGAUUUAGACUAGAGAUUAGAAAGAAAUUCUUUACUGUGAGGGUGGUGAGACACGGGAACUGGUUGCCCAGGCGAGGUUGUGGAUGCCCCCUCCCUGGAAGUAUUCAAGGCCAGACUGGGUGGGGCUUUGAGCCACCUGGUCUAGUGGGAGAUGUCCCUGCCUAUAGCAGGGGGGUUGGAACUAGAUGA
ensembl:lncRNA